rnacentral:rRNA from 1 species
GACGAACGCUGGCGGCGUGCUUAACACAUGCAAGUCGAACGGAAAGGCCCUGCUUUUGUGGGGUGCUCGAGUGGCGAACGGGUGAGUAACACGUGAGUAACCUGCCCUUGACUUUCGGAUAACUUCAGGAAACUGGGGCUAAUACCGGAUAGGAGCUCCUGCUGCAUGGUGGGGGUUGGAAAGUUUCGGCGGUUGGGGAUGGACUCGCGGCUUAUCAGCUUGUUGGUGGGGUAGUGGCUUACCAAGGCUUUGACGGGUAGCCGGCCUGAGAGGGUGACCGGCCACAUUGGGACUGAGAUACGGCCCAGACCCCUACGGGAGGCAGCAGUGGGGAAUAUUGCACAAUGGGCGGAAGCCUGAUGCAGCAACGCCGCGUGCGGGAUGACGGCCUUCGGGUUGUAAACCGCUUUCGCCUGUGACGAAGCGUGAGUGACGGUAAUGGGUAAAGAAGCACCGGCUAACUACGUG